AUGGUGCCCUCCAGCCUGCUGUGGGCCCUGGUGGCCUUCACCUGCUCUGGAUCCAGUGUGGCCCAGAAAGUUACUCAAGACCAGGAAAGUGUAUCCACCAGAGAGGGGUCAGUAGUCACGUUGAGGUACCGGUAUGAAACAAGCCUGAGUGGCUACAAUCUUUAUUGGUACAAGCAGCUUUCUGAUGGGAAGAUCACUUUCCUUAUUUAUCAGCAUUCUUCUGCCACCAAUGCAGAACAAGGUCGCUAUUCUAUAAACUUCCAGAAAGCAGACAAAUCCAUCUCUCUCACAAUUAAAUCCUUACAACUGGAUGAUAUAGCCAAGUACUUCUGUGCUCUCCUGGACCCCACUGUGUUUGAGGUGAUAGUAAAAGCUGAACAAAAACCCAGAUCUCAAGAGGGGGAGGGCCCUGCCAGAGCUGAGCUGAAAUCACCCCUACUCUUCCCAGACAGGCCAUGGCGGAGACUGUUGUCACUUCUUUUGUGGUCUGGACUGGGGGCGACCUCUGAGUAA